rnacentral:lncRNA from 1 species
CAUAUGAGGACACAGCAAGAGGGUGCUAUCUAUGAGGAACAGGCCUUCAUCAGACACCAAAUCUACUGGCACCUCCACCUUGAACUUUCCAGCCCCAAGAAGUUUUCUUUUCUAGUUUCGGCAUCAAAGUUAUUCCAGAAUCACAAAAUGAAAUGUGAAAUAUUCUCUUACAUUUUCUCUUCUGUUGGUCAGCUGGAAGAAAGCAGAUAUUAAAUCUUUCCUAUUUGUUUGAACUUGCAGAUGUACAUGUACUACUCAUGUUUUCAUCAGGAGAACAGAAACACAUUAUAUAUUUCAAGAGGGAAUUUAACGUGAGUAAUCAAUUACAAAGGUACGAGAAAAUUAAAGUGCAAAAAGCAAACACUACUGUAACACUGAAAUAGUAACUUUAGGAGUAGCUGCCUAAUAUAGCUUGGCUGUGUCCCCACCCAAAUCUCAUUUUGAAUUCUCAUGUGUAGGAGAUACCCAGUGGGAGGUAACUGAAUCAUGAGGAUGGGUCUUUUCCAUGUUGUUCUCUUGAUAGUGAAUGUCUCAUGAGAUCUGAUGGUUUUAAAAAGGGGAGUUUCCCUGCACAAGCUCUCUUUUCUUGUCUGUUGCCAUGUGAGACAUGCCUUUCACUUCCACCAUGAUUGUGAGGCCUCCCCAGGCAUGUGGAACUGUAAGUCCAGUAAACCUCUUUCUUUUGUAAAUUGGCCCAUCUUGGAGACUGUAAGUCCAGUAAACCUCUUUCUUUUGCAGAUUGUCCCAUCUUUAUCAGCAGCAUGAAAAUGGACUAAUACACUGACAGUCCCAGGACUGGGAGUGAAUGAAACAGGAAAAAGCUGGUGGUAAGAUUUCUGUGGAGGGGCUGCUACCCUGCUCAUACUGGUACUGGAGCAGGCACAGGGGAGUGGUUCUGGGAGUGCUCAAAGAAACUGGAGCCGAAAGUGCUGUUGCUUUCAGGGUGAGGUUGGCAGGAACAGGAAGACAGACAGGAAGUCCCACCUCCAGACCACAUAGAGUGCCUCCUAUUGGCCAAAACUUACAGGAAGCCAAAUGAGAAUUGGGAAAUAAGUUUUGUAAAGUCUCAGUUCCUGAAUCACAGAGCAGAUUACAGUAGGGGUUUUUGAGCUGAAAAUUAAUAAAUAUUUAACCAACAAAAUAGAUGUCAAAAUUAGUUAUUGAUAUCUAACUGGAGUGCUCUUUUCCAUUUAAAGUUGAUGCUUGAACAACAUGGGUUUAAACUGUGUGAGUGCACUUAUGAGUGGAUGUUUUUCAAUAAAAGUUACACCAAGUGUGCCUGCCUCUCUUGCCUCCCCUUCCACCUCCUGCACCGCUUCCACCUCUGCCAUUCCAGAGACAGCAAGACCAACUCCACUUUUUCUUCCUCCUCCUCAACGAAUUCAACCUAAAGAUAGGGAUGAAGACCUUUAAGAUUAUCCACUUCCACUUAAUGAAUAGUAAAGGUAUUUUCUCUUCCUUAUGAUGUUGUUAAUAAUGUUUUCCUUUUUUUUCUAGCUCACUUUAUUGUAAGAGUACAGUAUGUAAUAUACAUAAUAUACAUCAUCUAUGUUAAUUGACUAUGUUAUCAGUAAGGCUUACAAUCAAUAGUAGGCUAUUAAUUGAUAGGUUUUGGGGGAGUCAAUUGUUAUACCUGUAUUUUCAACUGAGUAGGAGGUCAUCCCCCCAAAUCCCCACAUUGUUCAAGAAUCAACUGUACUUUGAUGCCCCAUACAACAGAAUUUCCAUGGAAGGAGUUAAAACUGAACCUGAUCACUACUGUCUAUCUGAGGAGCAGACAAGAUCCUGUACUUGCCAUGUGCUGAUCUAGCAGAAACAUAGUGCAAGCACACAUGCAAUUAAAAAUUUCCUAGUACCCACAAUGAAUAAAAUAAAACGUGUAAAAUUCAUUUUAAUAACAUAUAUUCCUUAAUCUAUCCAAAGAUGCAC